UUGGCCGUAGGGCUUGCUUCUAUUGGACCUGGAGUUGGUCAAGGUACUGCUGCAGGACAAGCUGUAGAAGGUAUUGCGAGACAGCCAGAAGCAGAAGGUAAAAUACGAGGUACUUUAUUGCUUAGUCUAGCUUUUAUGGAAGCUUUAACAAUUUAUGGACUAGUUGUGGCACUAGCGCUUGAUCAAACGAUCCCCAUGCCAGCCCAAAUCAUGAUCUUCACCAACUUGGAUUUGGUUCUCUCGCGAAAAUCGCGAGUUGCAGAGAUGAGAACCAUGAAAAGCAAGAUCCCGAAUAAGAAAACAGAAACCGAGGAAGAGGAAACCACAAGAGUGAAGACUAGUAGAGUCUCGUCUUUUGUCAUUCUUUGCUCCUUUUUCACUCAAUGA
rnacentral:rRNA from 1 species